rnacentral:rRNA from 1 species
AGUGAACGCUGGCGGCGUGCCUAAUACAUGCAAGUCGAACGGAGUGGCGCACGGGUGAGUAAUAUAUAGCUAAUCUGCCCCUUGCUGGAGGAACACAGUUAGAAAUGACUGCUAAUACUCCAUAGCAAGGGAUGAGACUAUAUCGUAUCAGCUAGUCGGUGGGGUAACGGCCUACCGAGGCUAUGACGCGUACCUGGUCUGAGAGGAUGAUCAGUCAGAUGGGAACUUAUACAAGGUCCAAACUCCUACGGGAGGCAGCAGUAGGGAAUAUUGCGCAAGGGGGGAAGCACUGACGCAGCAACGCCGCGUGGAGGAUGACACUUUUCGGAGCGUAAACUCCGUUUGUUAGGGAAGCGGUGCCUGACGAAUAAGCACCGGCUAACUCCGUGCCAGCAGCCGCGGUAAUAC